UAGCCUGGCAGUUGAUAUGCUUUCUACCCU
rnacentral:piRNA from 1 species